rnacentral:miRNA from 1 species
AUCACCCAGGGAUCUUGUGAAAAUCCAGAUACUGAUCCAGUCAGCAGUCUGGGUCCUGAGAUUCUGCAUUUCUAACAAGUUC